AUACAAAAUGGGAUUUCAACCUUCUGUUUAGUCUAAAAGCUUAUUCUGCCAGAUUUGAACAAGGUGGGAAUUAUUGAAGCAACUUGGUUUCUUAGAGUUUUCUUAGAGUUCAUGAAGAAUCCUUCAGUUGAGGAUAUAAAAUCUUCAGCUGUUGCAUGUUUAUUCACUUUUCCACAAGAACAUACUCAGUAAUUGUGCUUGACAGCAUAGUCUGUAAUUGGAGAACUGAACCUGCUUAGAAAGAUCACGGAGUCUUGUCAUUUUUCUGCAUUGUGCGUCUUUAGAUUGAACCAUUGUACUUGCAGCACAUGAUAAUGGCAGCA
rnacentral:misc_RNA from 1 species